AGUUCCUUGGAACAGGACGCCUUAGAGGGUGAGAGCCCCGUACGGUUGGAUGCCUAGCCUUUGUAAAUCUCCUUCGACGAGUCGAGUAGUUUGGGAAUGCUGCUCUAAAUGGGAGGUAAAUUUCUUCUAAAGCUAAAUAUUGGCCAGAGACCGAUAGCGCACAAGUAGAGUGAUCGAAAGAUGAAAAGCACUUUGAAAAGAGGGUUAAAUAGCACGUGAAAUUGUUGAAAGGGAAGGAUUUAUGACCAGACUUUUUCUAGGCGGAUCAUCCGGUGUUCUCACCGGUGCACUUUGUCUAGUUUAGGCCAGCAUCGAUUUUCGGCAGCGGAUAAAAGCUUCAGGAAUGUGGCUCCUCCGGGAGUGUUAUAGCCUGUUGUAUAAUACGCCGCUGGGGAUCGAGGUACGCGCUUCUGCAAGGAUGCUGGCGUAAUGGUUAUCAAUCACCCGUCUUGAAACACGGACCAAGGAGUCGAACAUUUAUGCGAGUGUUUGGGUGUUAAACCCUCACGCGUAAUGAAAGUGAACGGAGGUGAGAGCCCUUACGGGUGCAUCAUCGACCGAUCCUGAUGUUUUCGGAUGGAUUUGAGUAAGAGCAUAACUGUUCGGACCCGAAAGAUGGUGAACUAUGCGUGGAUAGGGUGAAGCCAGAGGAAACUCUGGUGGAGGCUCGCAGCGGUUCUGACGUGCAAAUCGAUCGUCAAAUCUGCGCAUGGGGGGCGAAAGACUAAUCGAACCAUCUAGUAGCUGGUUACCG
rnacentral:rRNA from 1 species